rnacentral:rRNA from 1 species
AGACCCGAAACCCGGUGAUCUAGCCAUGGGCAGGUUGAAGGUUGGGUAACACUAACUGGAGGACCGAACCGACUAAUGUUGAAAAAUUAGCGGAUGACCUGUGGCUGGGGGUGAAAGGCCAAUCAAACCGGGAGAUAGCUGGUUCUCCCCGAAAGCUAUUUAGGUAGCGCCUCGUGAAUUCAUCUCCGGGGGUAGAGCACUGUUUCGGCUAGGGGGCCAUCCCGGCUUACCAACCCGAUGCAAACUGCGAAUACCGGAGAAUGUUAUCACGGGAGACACACGGCGGGUGCUAACGUCCGUCGUGAAGAGGGAAACAACCCAGACCGCCAGCUAAGGUCCCAAAGUCAUGGUUAAGUGGGAAACGAUGUGGGAAGGCCCAGACAGCCAGGAUGUUGGCUUAGAAGCAGCCAUCAUUUAAAGAAAGCGUAAUAGCUCACUGGUCGAGUCGGCCUGCGCGGAAGAUGUAACGGGGCUAAACCAUGCACCGAAGCUGCGGCAGCGACGCUGAUGCGUUGUUGGGUAGGGGAGCGUUCUGUAAGCCUGCGAAGGUGGCCUGUGAGGGUUGCUGGAGGUAUCAGAAGUGCGAAUGCUGACAUAAGUAACGAUAAAGCGGGUGAAAAGCCCGCUCGCCGGAAGACCAAGGGUUCCUGUCCAACGUUAAUCGGGGCAGGGUGAGUCGACCCCUAAGGCGAGGCCGAAAGGCGUAGUCGAUGGGAAACGGGUUAAUAUUCCCGUACUUGGUGUUACUGCGAAGGGGGGACAGAGAAGGCUAUGUUGGCCGGGCGACGGUUGUCCCGGUUUAAGCGUGUAGGCUGGUUUUCCAGGCAAAUCCGGAAAAUCAAGGCUGAGGCGUGAUGACGAGGCACUACGGUGCUGAAGCAACAAAUGCCCUGCUUCCAGGAAAAGCCUCUAAGCAUCAGGUAACAUCAAAUCGUACCCCAAACCGACACAGGUGGUCAGGUAGAGAAUACCAAGGCGCUUGAGAGAACUCGGGUGAAGGAACUAGGCAAAAUGGUGCCGUAACUUCGGGAGAAGGCACGCUGACACGUAGGUGAAGUGAUUUACUCAUGGAGCUGAAGUCAGUCGAAGAUACCAGCUGGCUGCAACUGUUUAUUAAAAACACAGCACUGUGCAAACACGAAAGUGGACGUAUACGGUGUGACGCCUGCCCGGUGCCGGAAGGUUAAUUGAUGGGGUCAGCGCAAGCGAAGCUCCUGAUCGAAGCCCCGGUAAACGGCGGCCGUAACUAUAACGGUCCUAAGGUAGCGAAAUUCCUUGUCGGGUAAGUUCCGACCUGCACGAAUGGCGUAAUGAUGGCCAGGCUGUCUCCACCCGAGACUCAGUGAAAUUGAACUCGCUGUGAAGAUGCAGUGUACCCGCGGCAAGACGGAAAGACCCCGUGAACCUUUACUAUAGCUUGACACUGAACAUUGAGCCUUGAUGUGUAGGAUAGGUGGGAGGCUUUGAAGUGUGGACGCCAGUCUGCAUGGAGCCGACCUUGAAAUACCACCCUUUAAUGUUUGAUGUUCUAACGUGGACCCGUUACCCGGGUUGCGGACAGUGUCUGGUGGGUAGUUUGACUGGGGCGGUCUCCUCCUAAAGAGUAACGGAGGAGCACGAAGGUUGGCUAAUCCUGGUCGGACAUCAGGAGGUUAGUGCAAUGGCAUAAGCCAGCCUGACUGCGAGCGUGACGGCGCGAGCAGGUGCGAAAGCAGGUCAUAGUGAUCCGGUGGUUCUGAAUGGAAGGGCCAUCGCUCAACGGAUAAAAGGUACUCCGGGGAUAACAGGCUGAUACCGCCCAAGAGUUCAUAUCGACGGCGGUGUUUGGCACCUCGAUGUCGGCUCAUCACAUCCUGGGGCUGAAGUAGGUCCCAAGGGUAUGGCUGUUCGCCAUUUAAAGUGGUACGCGAGCUGGGUUUAGAACGUCGUGAGACAGUUCGGUCCCUAUCUGCCGUGGGCGCUGGAGAACUGAGGGGGGCUGCUCCUAGUACGAGAGGACCGGAGUGGACGCAUCACUGGUGUUCGGGUUGUCAUGCCAAUGGCACUGCCCGGUAGCUAAAUGCGGAAGAGAUAAGUGCUGAAAGCAUCUAAGCACGAAACUUGCCCCGAGAUGAGUUCUCCCUGAGACUUAGAGUCUCCUGAAGGAACGUUGAAGACGACGACGUUGAUAGGCCGGGUGUGUAAGCGCAGCGAUGCGUUGAGCUAACCGGUACUAAUGAACCGUGAGGCUUAACCUUACAACGCCGAAG